GAAAAAAACAGAGUAGAGAGAGAGAGGACCCCAUUAGCGCCGAUUGCAUUGUUCAGAGAGUAAAGAGAGGAGUUAGUUUGAAGCAUAAUCUAAUGAGUUUUAUUCAAAAGUUACUGCUAUAAACUUCAAGUUGCACGAGUUAGAAAAUUGUUGAUAAAAAAAGAAGCGAUGCACACCAGUCCGAGUUGGUUUGAAGCAUAUAGCUGCCUGCUGUACUAGCUCGCUCGAUCUGGCAUGAAGAUCAAGCACGCGUAAUUGUUUGCAGUAGCGAGAAUCCCCUUGCCAACAGCUAAUUAGGAACCAGAGAAACCCAUUGACAGCUCUCCAAAUUAGUCUGCCGUUCUCAGUCCGUCGUUCUCCUCUAUCAGCGAGCGAUCGGAAGGUCUUACAGAGAUGAAAGGGGUGACAGAUCUGGGGAAUGAGAGGGAUAAGGGAACAGAGAUAGUGUUUUUCACUUAUAGACAGUACAAGAGAGGAGAGGAAAUGACAGCAGAGCAAGAUUAUUGCUUGGUAGCUCGAAUUAAGCAACUCAAAUGGCCCGAUUUCUUUGUACUCCCCCAGAUUCCUUAUACACCCCCAGCUUUGUUCGGCCACACCAGACCUUUAAUUUCAAAUAUUAAAAAAAAAA